rnacentral:rRNA from 1 species
AUUGAACGCUGGCGGCAUGCCUUACAUAUGCAAGUCGAACGGCAGCGGGGACUUCGGUCCGCCGGCGAGUGGCGAACGGGUGAGUAAUGUAUCGGAACGUACCAUUCAGUGGGGGAUAACUAUCCGAAAGGAUAGCUAAUACCGCAUAUUCUGUGAGCAGGAAAGCAGGGGAUCGCAAGACCUUGCGCCGAUUGAGCGGCCGAUAUCAGAUUAGCUAGUUGGUGAGGUAACGGCUCACCAAGGCUACGAUCUGUAGCGGGUCUGAGAGGAUGAUCCGCCACACUGGGACUGAGACACGGCCCAGACUCCUACGGGAGGCAGCAGUGGGGAAUUUUGGACAAUGGGCGCAAGCCUGAUCCAGCCAUGCCGCGUGAGUGAAGAAGGCCUUCGGGUUGUAAAGCUCUUUCGGCCGGGAAGAAAUCGCAUCAGCUAAUACCUGGUGUGGAUGACGGUACCGGAAUAAGAAGCACCGGCUAACUACGUGCCAGCCGCCGCCGUAAUAC